CACACGACUCUCGGCAAUGGAUAUCUCAGCUCCCGCAUCAAUGAAGAACAUAGCAAAAUGCGAUACCUAGUGUGAAUUGCGGAAUCCCGUGAACCAUCGAGUUUUUGAAUGCAAGUUUCGCCCGAGGCCUUCUCGCCGAGGGCACGCCUGCCUGGGCGUCACAC
rnacentral:rRNA from 1 species